rnacentral:rRNA from 1 species
AUUGAACGCUGGCGGCAGGCCUAAUACAUGCAAGUCGAGCGAGCGGCGGACGGGUGAGUAAUGUCUGGUAAACUGCCUGUUGGCUGGGGAUAACUACUGGAAACGGUAGCUAAUACCGCAUUCCAUCAGAUGUGCCCAGAUGGGAUUAGCUAGUCGGGGGGGUAAAGGCCUACCUAGGCGACGAUCUGCAGCGGGGCUGAGAGGAGGAUCCGCCAAACUGGGAAUGAGAAACGGCACAUACGCCUACGGGAGGCAGCAGUGGGGAAUAUUGGGCAAUGGGAGGAAACGUGAACCGGUCAUGCCGCGUGUGUGAAGAAGGGUUUAUGGUUGUAAAGAACUUUAAGCGAGGAGACGGUACUCACAGAAUAAGCACCGGCUAACUCCGUGCCAGCAGCCGCGGUAAUUC